GAUAAACGCUGACAGAAUGCUUAACACAUGCAAGUCGAUGAUGGGAGCUAGCUUGCUAGAAGAAGUCAUGGCGGACGGGUGAGUAACGUGUAAAGAACUUACCAUAUAGACUGGGAUAACAGAGGGAAACUUCUGAUAAUACUGGAUAAGUUAGUAGUAGCAUUACUAAGUAAUGAAAGGUAGCAAUACGCUAUAUGAGAGCUUUGCAUCCUAUUAGCUAGUUGGUGGGGUAAAAGCCUACCAAGGCGAUGAUAGGUAGCCGGCCUGAGAGGGUGGACAGCCACAAGGGGACUGGGAUACGGCCCUUACUCCUACGGGAGGCAGCAGUGGGGAAUAUUGGACAAUGGAGGCAACUCUGAUCCAGCAAUUCUGUGUGUGUGAAGAAGGUUUUAGGACUGUAAAACACUUUUAGUAGGGAAGAAAGAAAUGACGGUACCUACAGAAGAAGCGACGGCUAAAUACGUG
rnacentral:rRNA from 1 species